GACGAACGCUGGCGGCGUGCUUAACACAUGCAAGUCGAACGGAAAGGCCCUGCUUUUGUGGGGUGCUCGAGUGGCGAACGGGUGAGUAACACGUGAGUAACCUGCCCUUGACUUUGGGAUAACUUCAGGAAACUGGGGCUAAUACCGGAUAGGAGCUCCUGCUGCAUGGUGGGGGUUGGAAAGUUUCGGCGGUUGGGGAUGGACUCGCGGCUUAUCAGCUUGUUGGUGGGGUAGUGGCUUACCAAGGCUUUGACGGGUAGCCGGCCUGAGAGGGUGACCGGCGACAUUGGGACUGAGAUAGGGCCCAGCCUCCUACGGGAGGCAGCAGGGGGGAAUAUGGCACAAUGGGCGGAAGCCUGAUGCAGCAACGCCGCGUGCAGAAUGACGGCCUUCGGGUUGUAAACCGUUUUCGCCUGUGACGAAGCGUGAGUGACGGUAAUGGGUAAAGAAGCACGGGCUAACUACGUG
rnacentral:rRNA from 1 species